rnacentral:rRNA from 1 species
UGGGGAAUAUUGGGCAAUGGGCGAAAGCCUGACCCAGCGACGCCGCGUGGGGGAUGAAGGUCUUCGGAUCGUAAACCUCUGUCAGGAGGGGCGAACGUUUCAGGGUUAAUAACCCUGAAAUCUGACGGUACCCCCACAGGAAGCCCCGGCUAACUCCGUGCCAGCAGCCGCGGUACUACGGCGGGGGCAAGCGUUAUUCGGAAUUACUGGGCGUAAAGCGCGCGCAGGUGGUGCGAUAAGUGGCAGGUGAAAUCCCUGGGCUUAACCGGGGAACGGCC